rnacentral:rRNA from 1 species
GGGUCAGUAGGUUGGUCGUGCCACCGGUACGUACUGGCCUCACUGAUUCCUCCUUCCUGAAGAACCGUAAUGCCAUUAAUUUGGUGUUGCGGGGAAGCAGGACUGUUACUUUGAAAAAAUUAGAGUGUUUAGAGCAAGCUAACGCUUGAAUACAUUAGCAUGGAAUAAUGAAAUAGGACGAUCGAUCCUAUUUUGUUGGUUUCUAGGAUUGACGUA